AGAGUUUGAUCCUGGCUCAGAUUGAACGCUGGCGGCAGGCUUAACACAUGCAAGUCGAGCGGGGUGAUGUAGCUUGCUACAUUACCUAGCGGCGGACGGGUGAGUAAUGCUUAGGAAUCUGCCUAUUAGUGGGGGACAACAUUCCGAAAGGAAUGCUAAUACCGCAUACGCCCUACGGGGGAAAGCAGGGGAUCUUCGGACCUUGCGCUAAUAGAUGAGCCUAAGUCAGAUUAGCUAGUUGGUGGGGUAAAGGCCUACCAAGGCGACGAUCUGUAGCGGGUCCGAGAGGAUGAUCCGCCACACUGGGACUGAGACACGGCCCAGACUCCUACGGGAGGCAGCAGUGGGGAAUAUUGGACAAUGGGCGAAAGCCUGAUCCAGCCAUGCCGCGUGUGUGAAGAAGGCCUUUUGGUUGUAAAGCACUUUAAGCGAGGAGGAGGCUACUUAGAUUAAUACUCUAGGAUAGUGGACGUUACUCGCAGAAUAAGCACCGGCUAACUCUGUGCCAGCAGCCGCGGUAAUACAGAGGGUGCGAGCGUUAAUCGGAUUUACUGGGCGUAAAGCGUGCGUAGGCGGCUUUUUAAGUCGGAUGUGAAAUCCCUGAGCUUAACUUAGGAAUUGCAUUCGAUACUGGGAAGCUAGAGUAUGGGAGAGGAUGGUAGAAUUCCAGGUGUAGCGGUGAAAUGCGUAGAGAUCUGGAGGAAUACCGAUGGCGAAGGCAGCCAUCUGGCCUAAUACUGACGCUGA
rnacentral:rRNA from 1 species